CCACUGCAGAUGUCAAAUCUCUCUGGACAAUGACGUUUCGAGUUGUCAAAGAAACAGUCAAAGUCUGCAUGUUCAGAAUGGAAUACUACAAGACUCAGGAGAAAAAAAAGACCAGGAUUCAAGCACCACUGACUGGCCGAAGGAGGUGUACGAGAAAAAGUGAAUGGACCUCCAAGGCACAAAAAAGAGGGUUCACGAGACUUUUUCCCCUUUCCGUGGAAUGGCUAUGUAGUAUGCACCAUAUGUCAGGUCGCAUGUUUUGGUUACAUGAUGGGCAAAAACUAGGCAGCUCAACAUUGACUGUUUCUAGUUCCACGAUACUAAAGUACAUGUUGAGACUAAUUUAAAAAUACUAGCUGAUAAAUGCUAAGUUUACACGAUCGCCUAUUUACUUGUGCAUUCCUGUUCCUUAUGCAACCCCUUUUUAUAUCCCCAUUCGCAUAGGAUGCCAUUGAAAAAAAGCUCUAAGUGUGGAUAAUUAAACAGCUCCCUCAAGGUAGUAGUAUCAGUAUGUAUACCUAAAGCAUUUCACUUAAAGGGUAGUUCUCAUAAUUGCCCUUGAAAAUGGCCACUUUGCCCAGCCUCUAAUACCAGUCACAGCUGUUGAAGUAGUCUUGGUGAAAUUGCUCUACUGUGUAGGUAACCAUACUUCACAUUUUCAAAGUAAACUCUUGGUGCACAUUA
rnacentral:lncRNA from 1 species